GCGGGUGUGGCGGAAUUGGCAGACGCACCAGACUUAGGAUCUGGCACCGCACGGCGUGGGGGUUUGACUCCCUUCACCGGCA
rnacentral:tRNA from 3 species